GGACUGCAGCCUGCAACCCGGCUGCACGAAGCCGGAAUCGCUAGUAACCGCAGAUCAGAGUGCUGCGGUGAAUACGUUCCCGGGUCUUGUACACACCGCCCGUCACACCAUGAGAGUCGGGAACACCCGAAGUCCGUAGCCUAACCGCAAGGGGGGCGCGGCCGAAGGUGGGUUCGAUAAUUGGGGUGAAGUCGUAACAAGGUAUC
rnacentral:rRNA from 1 species